rnacentral:tRNA from 1 species
GGCCCUGUAGCUCAUCGGUAGAGCGCUGCCCUGAAGAGGCAGGCGUAGUCAGUUCGACUCUGACCGGGGCCACCA